GACAGGAGGAAAGACAUAUGCAAAAACGGGAACAAUACAGAGAAGACUGGCAUGGCCUCUGCACACAGAUGACUCGCAGAUUCGUGAAGAAUUCCAUAUUAGA